CGUCAGAUAGCUCAGUGGUCUAGAGCAGUCACCCGGCAAGCGAAAGACCCGGGUUCGAUUCCCGGUCUAGCGA
rnacentral:tRNA from 1 species